AAAGCGGAAUCCGAAAAGCUAAAAGAGUAGGAA
ncrna:unclassified sequences DTF805b RNA